UACAUGUGGGCCUUUGGUACAUAGUGUUAGAUAAGAGUUCAACAUUUUACCUUCCAAACACUGUGAAAAAACGAUUCAAGAGCUUUGAAUUGUGUAUAUAUAGAUACAUUAGUUUUAAGAGAAAGGUAAUGAUAGACCCAGAGAAUUGACAGAUUAAACUUGCUUAACUCUGACCCAAAACUUUAAAGUGGUUAUGGGAAGUUUAGUCCUCAAUCUAACAAAUCCUGCUCCAAUCCCUAUUUAAACCUGAUCAGAAAUGUGUAAACUUGCAUUUCUGAGAGUCCUUUUAGGUGCAUAAAAUAUGUAGGAGAAUAUAGAAACUGUAGUUAAAAAAAAACAAACUCAAAAAUACAAGAACACAUUCACACACUGGUGUUUGCAUUUGAAACUGUUUGUGUAUGUACUUUUUUAGAAAUUAUUUGUUUGCCAGAUCUCAGCCACAAAAAUGUAAAGCAGUUCAGCCACUAUGCUGCACGUCUGGUUUAAUGAGGAAAAGAAAUAGAAAACAAACAGCGUCUGGACAUGAUUUCAACACAAACAGAACAGUCACCUUCUGUAAUUGAGCAUAUGAGGUUUCUAUUCAAACUUGUGGGAACAGCACAAUGACAUACGAGGAUGCAGUGAUGCUGGGAUCACUUCUCAUCAACACAUCAGAGCGGAAAGUUGAUGAUCAGAACUGAAGCUGAGGAGAAAAAAAACCCAGCAGUUGAAAGAAUUACAGAGAAACGAUGAAGCUGAGUUUGUUUCUUAUGGUUCUUGUUGGUCAUUUUUGUCUCUUCACGUGUCAGCUCCAUGAGUAUCACUUUGUUGAUCAGAACAAGACUUGGACUGAAGCUCAGCAGCACUGCAGGGACAAAUACACUGAUCUGGCUACAGUGAGCAGCAUGGUUGACAUAGACCG